rnacentral:rRNA from 1 species
UGCAGUCGAGCGGAUGAAGGGAGCUUGCUCCUGGAUUCAGCGGCGGACGGGUGAGUAAUGCCUAGGAAUCUGCCUGGUAGUGGGGGAUAACGUCCGGAAACGGGCGCUAAUACCGCAUACGUCCUGAGGGAGAAAGUGGGGGAUCUUCGGACCUCACGCUAUCAGAUGAGCCUAGGUCGGAUUAGCUAGUUGGUGGGGUAAAGGCCUACCAAGGCGACGAUCCGUAACUGGUCUGAGAGGAUGAUCAGUCACACUGGAACUGAGACACGGUCCAGACUCCUACGGGAGGCAGCAGUGGGGAAUAUUGGACAAUGGGCGAAAGCCUGAUCCAGCCAUGCCGCGUGUGUGAAGAAGGUCUUCGGAUUGUAAAGCACUUUAAGUUGGGAGGAAGGGCAGUAAGUUAAUACCUUGCUGUUUUGACGUUACCAACAGAAUAAGCACCGGCUAACUUCGUGCCAGCAGCCGCGGUAAUACGAAGGGUGCAAGCGUUAAUCGGAAUUACUGGGCGUAAAGCGCGCGUAGGUGGUUCAGCAAGUUGGAUGUGAAAUCCCCGGGCUCAACCUGGGAACUGCAUCCAAAACUACUGAGCUAGAGUACGGUAGAGGGUGGUGGAAUUUCCUGUGUAGCGGUGAAAUGCGUAGAUAUAGGAAGGAACACCAGUGGCGAAGGCGACCACCUGGACUGAUACUGACACUGAGGUGC